rnacentral:rRNA from 1 species
AUGGCCGGCGAGGAGGGUUCGUCCUGCCGGCGCACCACAAGGAGCAUGACGGCGAACGAGCGUGCCGCCAAGGAAGCGGCGCCUGCCGGCGACGAGCGCGCGCAGAAGCGGCGCCAGCGUGGCACCGCCAAAAAGAAGGCUCCACGUCCACUCAAGGCGCGCAACAGCAAAAGGAAAGCGGCCGCGGCCGCGGCCGGGAUCGGCUUCUCGGAGCUGUACGAGGGGGCGCGGGCCUCCGGGAAGAAGCUGGCGCGGCUGCCGCAGGAGGAGGUCGACUGGAUCCUCGCCCAGGACCACGGCGACGACCCCGCCCACGACCCUCCCGAGGUCAAGGCCCUGAGGCGCCUGAGCCGCGACCAGUGGCCGUCGCUGGAGGAGGAGGAGAAGACGGACAUGUACGGCCCACGGGCGCAGAUCGAGACCCAGGAGGAGGCCCGCAGGUUCCAGGACUGGGUCCGCAGCGAGUACGCCGAGCGCGGCUACAUCGAGGUCGCCGAGGAGUACAUCGUCGGCAGGGACCAGACCCGGGCGUAUAUGGACGAGGCGCGGGUGGAGGCCAUGAACUCCAUCGACUUCUCCGGCGGCAACGAGGAUCUCAAGCGUUUCUUUGAAAAGACAUGGCCCUGA